AGCUUGAGAAAAAUGUUCACUCUUGCUUAUGUGAAGCUUGGGUAAGGUUGUCAAUAAAUAAUUGGAGCUUGAAAUUGUGAAUACUGCAACUUGGAGGAAGCUGAGCUUAGAGUUUGUUGAAUUUUGAGGGGCUGUCUUGAUUUUGAAUAAAUUGCUUUGGUCGUUACGUGGAAAUUGGCCAAGGUCGGGAGGCAUCUCGUUAGACGUCUGGACUCUUGAAGC